rnacentral:rRNA from 1 species
UACCAAAAACACAGGUUUGUGCUAAAUCGAAAGAUGACGUAUACGAGCUGACGCCUGCCCGGUGCUGGAAGGUUAAAAGGAGAUGUGCAAGCAUUGAAUUGAAGCCCCAGUGAACGGCGGCCGUAACUAUAACGGUCCUAAGGUAGCGAAAUUCCUUGUCAGGUAAGUUCUGACCCGCAUGAAAGGCGUAAUGAUCUGGGCACUGUCUCAACAGCCCGCCCGGCGAAAUUGUAGUACCGGUGAAGAUGCCGGUUACCCGCGACAAGACGGAAAGACCCCAUGGAGCUUUACUGUAGCCUAAUAUUGGGUUUCGGUGUUGCAUGCACAGGAUAGAUGGGACGCUAGGAAGUGAGUGCUUUGGCAUUCAUGGAGCGGCCGUUGGGAUACCAUCCUUGCGACAUUGGAAUUCUAACCUGCGCCUUUGAAUCAAGGCGGGGGACAUUGUUAGGUGGGCAGUUUGACUGGGGCGGUCGCCUCCUAAAGAGUAGCGGAGGCGUUCAAAGGUUGGCUCGUCCUGGACGGAAACCAGGAGAGAGAGUGCAAACGCAAAAGCCAGCCUGACUGCGAGACUGACGGGUCGAGCAGAGACGAAAGUCGGAGUUAGUGAUCCGGUGGUAUGUGAGUGGAAAUGCCAUCGCUCAACGGAUAAAAGUUACCCUGGGGAUAACAGGCUGAUCUCCCCCAAGAGUCCACAUCGACGGGGAGGUUUGGCACCUCGAUGUCGGCUCAUCGCAUCCUGGGGCUGUAUUCGGUCCCAAGGGUUUGGCUGUUCGCCAAUUAAAGCGGUACGCGAGCUGGGUUCAGAACGUCGUGAGACAGUUCGGUCCCUAUCUGUCGUGGGCGCAGGAUAUUUGAAAGGCGCUGUCCCUAGUACGAGAGGACCGGGAUGGACGAACCUCUGGUGCACCAGUUGUCACGCCAGUGGCACAGCUGGGCAGCUAUGUUCGGAUCGGAUAAACGCUGAAAGCAUCUAAGCGUGAAGCCGGCCUUAAGAUAAGAUAUCCCACUGAGAUAAUCAGGUAAGACCCCUUGAAGACUACAAGGUUGAUAGGCACAAUGUGUAAGUGGCGUGAGUCAUUGAGCAAGCGUGUACUAAUAGGUCGAGGGCUUGACCC